rnacentral:rRNA from 1 species
CCUACGGGUGGCUGCAGUGAGGAAUAUUGGUCAAUGGGCGCGAGCCUGAACCAGCCAAGUAGCGUGAAGGAUGACUGUCCUACGGGUUGUAAACUUCUUUUAUCAAGGAAUAAAGUCAGGCACGUGUGCCUUUCUGUAUGUACUUUAUGAAUAAGCAUCGGCUAACUCCGUGCCAGCAGCCGCGGUAAUACGGAGGAUCCGAGCGUUAUCCGGAUUUAUUGGGUUUAAAGGGUGCGUAGAUGGGUUGUUAAGUCAGUUGUGAAAGCUUGCGGCUCAACCGUAAGAGUGCAGUUGAUACUGGCAGCCUUGAGAAGAGGUGAGGUAGGCGGAAUUCGUAGUGUAGCGGUGAAAUGCUUAGAUAUCGCGAAGAACUCCGAUUGCGAAGGCAGCAUACUAAACGGCAUCUGACAUUGAUGCUCGAAAGUGUGGGUAUCGAACAGGAUUAGAUACCCGAGUAGUC